rnacentral:lncRNA from 12 species
UAUUCACUUGGAUUAUGUCUCGGAAUAUGACUGAGCACUCUGCAGACAUGGAGAAGGAGAGGAGGAGAGAGGUAGAUGGAAGAGGAGAAGCAGAUGAGUAAUCCUCAUGUGACUUUAUAAUGCUGUAGAUGAAGUGUAGAGAGAAGGCGUACCGUGGGACGGUUUGCGGUUGACACACACGCACGCACACACAUGCUUUACAUUCUCUGCUUGUCAUUUGCACCUGCUUAUUUGGAUUUAACACUUGAUUUAAUGUCCUAAAGCUACAGCACCACAAAAAUUCCGAAACUCAUACCGAUGAAAGAAACUAAGAAUGAUGUUGAGAGGAAGAAAAAUCAUAACAACAGAUAAUUAUUCAGCCUGCUGAGAAAAAAAAAUCGGAGCGAGGGGCGCAGGCAUACUGAGGGAGGACGGUAACAUUCUGUUCUACUGAGCAAUUUGAUGCUAAACAACAAAUAGGCGCACAAACCAUUGGAUCAGACGGGCUAAAGAACUGAUUAGAAUAUAUCAGCACACCUCUUCUCAGCAAGCCAGCUGCUCGGAAAACAUAGUCUUAGGGCAUAAUGUCAAGCAGAGUGAGAAGGGCUUUUGUCUGAGUGUGUUAGUGAGAGAUUGACUCUUUUUAAUCCAUUAUUCUUGGCCCUUUAGAAGUUCUGCACUAUUCAUUUCUGAUAGUAGGGUAGAUAUUAUAAACAGUGGCUUGUCACUCUACUUAACUGCUUAUAAUUAACAGAUCAACAGUUCAAUUACGCUGGACUUAACUGUUUCUGUCUAAUUGUUUUUAUUUCGAGGACAGAAGCUGUUCAAAAAAGGUUCAGAGUGAAAGACUCAUCGCCGCUGUCAUCGCUUGUUGUCGUACAGACUCAGUGGCGGGGUGAGUCACGGUCUCUUCAACCUGACGGGCCCCGGACCAGUAUGCAGUUAGAGUGAUCAGGUAAGCGAACAUUCACCUCACGGCCCUUCCUCCGGUAGUUGUAACGUGACACCGCUCCUGGACCAGAUAUGGGACGUACGUUUAGCUCGCUGAUCCCAGAUCUGCGCGCUUGAGCGGUCCUUAGAUAAGACGUGAAGCAUGCUCACUUACCCGCUGGUCUCAAAUCAUCAGUGUCAGGAUGAGAUUAACUGAUCCCAGAGUCUGAUCCCUAACAGACAGUCCAUUUGAAGUGGCACGUUUUGUGCUGAACGGUUGUAAUCUUCUCCUGCGAUGUGUCUUUAAGCCGAACACCUAAAUGACAUAUAAAAGCCCAAUUUAGAGCAAUUGCUUCUCCAAUUUGCUCUUCUAUUUGGUUCAAGCCUUUACAGUGACAUGUUUCAUAUGUGGCCACCGUGAAUUUUCUUUUUUGAAGGUCUCAAUACAUAUAAAAGAUAUAUGAUAGGUAGAGGAGACUAGAACUAGUAACUAAGAUUUUGAGAUAAAAGGAUAAUUACAUCUGUGUCUUCUCU